AAACUCCCAUUCACAAAGCUGCCCGCUCCGGAAGCCUGGAGUGCCUCAGCGCCCUGGUGGCAAACGGGGCUCACACCGAGUAAGUGUCUUCAAUUCUUCUCCCAACUAGACGUUAGUCCAUGUUGUGUUGAGAGGCAGCAUUUAGAGCAAGCAAAGGCCCCAAGGAGCUUUGCCUUCCGGUUAUUGCUGUUAGUGAGGGCAGCUGUAGGUGAAUUCGAGCGAGCACUCGCAGGAGGAGCUGUAUCCCAACAGCCUUAGGCUGCCUGUCACGAAUCAGGCAAGGGCAGUCAGCUCACCAGACGUGGACUAGACCUUGCACUCACUGGUCCUUUCACCAUGGCCGGUCUUCCCACUUCCCUUUGCCAGGUUUUAAUUUCUAACUAAGGGCUUGGAUUGGAAUAUCCUUGCAGGCCUCUCUGGCUCAAGACUAUGGGCUUCUCUAAAUUUUGGUUCCUCAUCUUAGCAGAUGUAGGAAGGUUAUGUUUUACAGCCUGUUACAACUUAAGGAUUUGUAGUGCGUUGUAAACAGGCCUGUUGAGACUUGAGAGCCCUUGACAUGACAACUCAGAGAUCCUUGUUUAUCCUCAUAUACACCAGCUAGCUUGUUUAUAGUCUGAUAAAGCAACCUUAAUUUCAAGUGAUCUCUAGAACUGUGAUUUUGUAUGCAAAUCAUUAACUAUGGCAUUAUACAUGUAUUUAUUAGAUUUGUUUCAACUUUUUUUAAAGAUUAUAUAAUGAAAUCUUUUCUUCACAGUUCACAGAAUUAACAAAAUGGAUGUGGUUUUUCACCCUUAAAUGUUGAGUAUAAGCUAUACAGCUGUAAUAAUCAAAAUAAUACUAGCUUUCUUUUGUCUUACCUUGUGUUGUGGAAUUUAUGAAAUUAAGUAGAAACCACUUACUCUAAUUGGAAACAUGAAAUUUUAGAUUUGGGGAGAUGUAAACUCCAGAACUAACCUAGUUUAACCCUUUGGUUUCCAUGUCGUUGUUUUGACUCUGUGUAACAGUAAGUCUUUUUAGAUCCUGGACAACAAACCAUGCAGGUCAGUGCAAGGCGCGGCUCCAUAGGAGAGGUUGUCGCCGGCCUCCCCGGGUCUUAGCUUCUGUCUCGCUGAGCCUUGUGGGGCUUGGACCCUUUACUUACGGCGUGAGUCAUAGCCUGUUAACCGCCACGAUGCAGGGACCCUUGUGACUUAACACGCAGUUAUGACUUAAGGUAAAGUAAGAAGAAUUGGUAACGUGGGUCUGUAUCUACAGCCUUAAAACACUGAGGUGAUUCUCCACUAAUUGCUCUGCAGUUACAGAUGAAGUUUUAUUAGCUGUGUUUAGAUAAAAUACUCAAAUCCUUAAUUUUAACAAUAAGCUGUGAUUAUAAAAUAGUCACUUAUAAUUGAUUAAAUUGCUUAAUUAUCAUUAAUUGAAAUGGAUAAUUAGAAGUUGAUCUUUUAACAACUUAUUCUAAACAUUACUCUUAAUGGUCCUGAACAUUUUAUUACAAAGAUGGUAGUUUUACUUAUUUUAAUGGAUAGAUUAAUCCUUUGAGUCAGUAUCUAUCAUGAUGUCCUUUUUUCCAGUAGGUGUCUUUUUAAACAUGAGCAUCUUUUAUUUACGAUUCUGUCCUUGAUUACAGGACCCUCAAGUGUCUUUUCCACCAGGCGUGGCUGGGCAUGGCUCUCGGGCCAUCUGUGUCCCGUCCCAGUAUAAGAGCCUCCCCCCUCGAGACCCUGCAUUGUGGUGACUUCCCUGGACUGAGCGCUCAGAUUUUUUUAGAAGAAACAUUUAGCCUGAGCUGCCUAGCCAAAAGCAAUUCUUAAAAUUCUAAGUCUUUGGCCUGGAGAAAAAACUUAAGUAAUCAUUAUUUGUUGCUGUUGUAUAUGUGGUUUUUUAGAACAUCUAGAUAAAAUGUAAGUUUUGCUAGUAAGGUAAACUGAAAUGUUUCUUGGUGUCUGUUCUGCACCUUUUCAUAGUUUACCCCAUUUAGCCGAUCGGCAUAUAACAGUGUGAAUCCCCAGAAUAAUGGAGUUUGGGUCUGUUUUAUUUGUUCCCUGUAAGUGCUACGUUGUAUAGUUACAUACAGUCCUAACAAAGAAUACCUUUUUUAUAAGAAGGAUCAAAGACAUAGAACUCAUUCACUUAGCUACUUUUCUUUUCCUCAGUUCAGAAUGGGCUAGAUUGCAAUUCCUUAUUUUGCAUUCUCUAGUAUAAAUUAGCCUUUCUGGUGGAUGGACUAAAAUCUGCCUCAUACCACUAUUUUUAAAUUAAUAGUUUUGUUCUUAAUUCCUACUCAGCUUUUUAUAUAUGUGCUACGUUAGAGUGGCCAUGUCUAUCCUUGUGUGUGUUUGGUCAUCAGGUAGACAUAAUAAGGGCAGAGGUGAUGAGUAUCUGUGGCUAGAAUGGUUUGCUAUGUAACUUACUUGUUAAUGUAGGUUGCCACUGUAAGAUAACGCAUUUCAGCUGCUGUUCAUCGUAUUAAAUUUUCUAGCACUACACGUGAGUAUGUUAAUGGACUUUGUUUUCUUAAUUGAAAUCUUGAGUUUUGGUGCCAAGUUACAUUUUCUGUGUGUGUCCAUUUCUGGCCUGUGUGAUGGCUGUUAAUGUUUGCCAUCGCUUGCAUCUAAAACUGAAACCCACAGGAUCAGAUCUCUGUUCUGACCACACGUUUGCGUACGUUGCAUUAUCUAAGAGUGGUGUUUUCACCAUUAGGCUGUUGUAAUGCCCUUCAGCUGUCCUUGGGAGAGUUUCCUUUGCAGCCCGUGUUCACUGCCUGCUUCAUCGGGAGGGGCAGGAACUCAGAAGAGAAGGCAUAGUCUUACUUACGCGGUGGGUGACAGAACAGUGAGUAAGGUUAGGCCUUGAGGCAAUUUUGGAGAAAGAUUUAAAACUGUGUUGUCUGCUGAUAAUUAAGACCUUUUUGCUUCUAACCUGCUAAGAGCUUUGCCCCUGGGGUUAGUUUCACUGUAGGUAUUUUGGUACUUUGUGUCUUUCUGGAGAAAGUGGAGGGUGUUUCCAUAUUGACCAGCUGGACCAGUAUAACUGGUCUCUCUGUCCUCCUGAGCAGAAGUAAGAGACCUGACCUGGACACAGAAGCCAGAGUCACCUCUACCCAGGGCAGCUUGGCUGGUCCACUGCGUCCCCCAUUGUGUGAAGGGGCUGGUGCAUAGUGGUGGUCUCACCUCAGCAGGGGCUUGCUGUGGAAUCCCUGUAUCCCAAGCUAUUCAGGUGGAGUGGGCUGUUUGUUGAUGUAAGGACUUGGAUCCCGGAAUGCUAGGCUUUGGGAGAAACAGCUGUAGCCUGAGAUAGCAGGUAGGACAGUCUUCUUACCUCACUUGUGAGGCAGACACAAUUGUCUGGAGUGAUGGAAGUCUGAAAAUCCAUGUUGACACUUGCCUUAAUGCUGUGAAACUUGAGGCUGGAUUUUUAGAAAUUCUUAAUUAAAAUUAGAGUUGGUUUAGUUUGGUUCAAAAUUGGUGGACCUGUAUGACCCACAUUUAUUUUCUUAUGGAACCCUGCCUGGAAGUGGGAUUUCCACUGAGACAAAUGCAUCAGAUGAAUGCACAGCCCUGGUGUUAGAAAUGCACCGCAGAUUUGUCCUGGCAAAGGCGAGCCCAGAUCCACUAUUAGCCAUUCAUUUUGAGUGUGCGGUUUCUGUUGAGUCCCUUCGUUGCCCUUCAGAGUAACAGCGCUGUUAGAAGAUUUGUUAAAAUUAUGUCCCUGAUUAGUAUUCUGGUGUUGCAAAUGCUCUGAAUUCUGUCUUCGCAGCUUAGCACCUGCCUCCCUCAUCCGGUUGUUGUCACUGCUCUCUCGGUUGUGUCUUGCUUGUCUGCUCCCUGCCUGGGUGCAUGCUCUGGGUGGAGGGGUCACUUUCUGAGGUGCUGCCAUGGGAUGUCCACCAGUUGGGAGCAGAUGACAGAUUCACUGUGCUCCAGAGUCAUUUUGUUGGCAAAUUUGGUUUCAGAACUUUUAUUUUUCAUGACUGCUUGAAUAAUAUAUAGAUUCAGUAUUUCUUUAGCUACUGCUUUUAUAGACAGCGCUUUCAAAUUAAAUCAAUUUCUAAAUCCCAGUGUCUUUAUCCUUUGCUAAUUUAUAGUUGGAGCAUGUUAGGUAUUUCAUCAAACUCCUUGAAUGAUGCUCUUAGAUUUUAAUGUAUGCAAAUAUAACUGUGGUUCAGUUGUAACCUCAAACUAUUCUUGGUAGUACUGAACUUGAAAUGGAAACUUGGCACCAAAUUUAUUCAGGCAGAAACUUUUUCAUACAAUCGUUUCUUCCUGAUGUUAACUUGAAGAAUAUGUUUAUAAAACCUCAUUAAGUUUGGAUACCAAAGGGUUAAAAUUACACAUGUAUUUCUUUUACUUAAGAUACUUUAGAUGUUUGCUAAUGUUUUAUACAAAUGGGCAUUUAGUAAUGUUUUUAUCUUUUUUUUAAUGAUUCCAUUUAUUUGCUUAUUUCCAUCUAGGAAUAGUUACUAAUGUAUUUGUGAUACAGCAUACCAAAUUUUAAAGUAACCAGAAUCGUGAGUUGAUGGUUUUUUAGUCCAUACUGUUAAACUUUGUUGAAAUAUUGACAUAUUUGAAUUGGCUUCAUGCUGAAAUGACAAGAGGGAGCGUAGAGGGCAGUGAUGAGAGCGGGCACAGCCCGCCGCCUCAUGUGUGUAUGUAUUCUAAUCCAAUGUUGCCUGCAAUGUGAUCCCGUAUGAUUUAUAAGUUUCCUGUGUAUGAACCAUUGCCCGUUUUAAGUCACACAGAAGAUUCUGAAUCUAUAAAAACUACACAUGUCAAUGUUUUCCAGCUACGUAAUUCGAAUUGACUUGAUUUUUUCAAGUAAUCCUAGAAAGGGGGAGCAUUCCAUAUAGAAACUGCUGAAACUGCCACAGGUGCUUCUCCGAAACCUUACGGUUGUGGCAUUGAAUGUUCAGUAUCGCUUCCUUUCUGCACACAAGGCAUACUGUUGAGCCUGAGAAAUGCCAGCGGCCUGACGGCAGCAGACAUUGCCCAAACCCAGGGCUUCCAAGAGUGUACCCAGUUUCUCUUGAGCCUCC